UUCUUUCUCACAAACGCAUCCUGAAGAGCUGAUGACAAUUAACUGCUAUUUACGCUAAUUCUGUCUUUUCGUUUCCAAUUCCAAGUUAUUUUCAGAUAUUCUGAACUUUGGUAACUUUUUGUGGAAUUAACCGUGUAGUUGGUUUACAACUUUGAUGAAAGAUUGCAUUUUUUUUCCCUUGCAUUGUGACAGGUUGUUUUUGGAUAAUUGGAUUGGAGUGUGUGUGCGCGCAUGUUUUUUUUUUGGAACCAAAACCAAUCUUAUUGUAGCAAUGCAAACCAAAACCAAACAGAACCCUUUUGGUUUGAAUCAAUCAGUUUUCAGUUCGUUGAACAUUACAAAUUUGUUACUACACAUUUGAAAGCUUGAACUUUAGGCUUAGAAACUGCAACUUGCCUGUAAAUUUCUAUGCCAAGUGUGUCAAUAAGAAAUCAGUAAUCAACUUUUUGCUCUUUGGAAAAUUGUAUGAACUUGUUCUCGUUGCAGUGGGAUGUGAUUGUAGCCAGCAAGUAACAGCUUUAUGUAAUUGUAAAAAGUUAAGCGGAAACAUAGGAUAACUAAGGAUGCCUAAAACCAUUUCAUAGUAACAUUGGCUGGUGAAGAAUCCAACAUAGUUUUAACUGAGGCACAUAUACUCACAUUUUUUUAUUUGGCGCAAAAACUGAUGGAGUGCAGAAUGCUCAGAUGGGUUGGCAUCAACUUCUAUGUAGUACCAAAUUACAAAUUUC